UCAGGCCUAACACAUGCAAGUCGAACGAAGCCUUCGGGCUUAGUGGCGCACGGGUGCGUAACGCGUGGGAAUCUGCCCUUGGGUACGGAAUAACAGUGAGAAAUUACUGCUAAUACCGUAUGAUGUCUUCGGACCAAAGAUUUAUCGCCCAGGGAUGAGCCCGCGUAGGAUUAGCUAGUUGGUGAGGUAAAGGCUCACCAAGGCGACGAUCCUUAGCUGGUCUGAGAGGAUGAUCAGCCACACUGGGACUGAGACACGGCCCAGACUCCUACGGGAGGCAGCAGUGGGGAAUAUUAAGAAUGGGCGAAAGCCUGAUCC
rnacentral:rRNA from 1 species